UGGGGAAUAUUGCACAAUGGAGGGAACUCUGAUGCAGCGACGCCGCGUGAACGAAGAAGGCUUUCGAGUCGUAAAGUUCUUUUAUAUGGGAAGAUAAUGACGGUACCAUAAGAAAAAGCCCCGGCUAACUACGUGCCAGCAGCCGCGGUAAUACGUAGGGGGCUAGCGUUGUCCGGAAUCACUGGGCGUAAAGGGUUCGCAGGCGGAAAUGCAAGUCAGGUGUAAAAGGCAGUAGCUUAACUACUGUAAGCAUUUGAAACUGCAUAUCUUGAGAAGAGUAGAGGUAAGUGGAAUUUUUAGUGUAGCGGUGAAAUGCGUAGAUAUUAAAAAGAAUACCGGUGGCGAAGGCGACUUACUGGGCUCAGUCUGACGCUGAGGAACGAAAGCGUGGGUAGCAAACAGG
rnacentral:rRNA from 1 species